rnacentral:rRNA from 1 species
ACACGACUACAUUAGAUACCCCUGUAGUCCUAGCCGUAAACGAUACUCGCUAGGUGUCGGCCACGGUGCGACCGUUGUCGGCGCCGUAGGGAAGCCGUGAAGCGAGCCACCUGGGAAGUACGGCCGCAAGGCUGAAACUUAAAGGAAUUGGCGGGGGAGCACCACAACGGGUGGAGCUUGCGGUUUAAUUGGAUUCAACGCCGGAAAUCUUACCGGGACCGACAGCAACAUGAAGGCCAAGCUGAAGACUUUGCCGGAUUAGCUG